GCCAGAUAUGGUGACAUGGUUCCGAAGACGAUAACAGGAAAGUUGGUUGGGGGAAUUUGUUCGUUGAGUGGGGUGCUGGUCAUCGCCCUGCCCGUCCCUGUCAUCGUCUCCAAC
rfam:Helobdella robusta unplaced genomic scaffold HELROscaffold_4, whole genome shotgun sequence.